CUAGCAUUAGACGUACCAAUAGGCCAUUAGAAAGGACCACGCGUGGCUGCAACGCGGAGAUGUCACAAGGAUCGAUAAGCUCUAUCGAGAAAACAGACACUUGGAUCUAUCGGACUUGUCACUUUUCUACGAUAUAUUUAUACUCGCUUGCUUU